rnacentral:rRNA from 1 species
UACGUAGGGGGCAAGCGUUGUCCGGAAUCAUUGGGCGUAAAGCGCGUGUAGGCGGCUUGGUAAGUCUGCUCUGAAAGCCCGGGGCUCAACCCUGGGAGGCGGGUGGAUACUGCUGAGCUCGAGUCCGGAAGAGGCGAGUGGAAUUCCUGGUGUAGCGGUGAAAUGCGCAGAUAUCAGGAGGAACACCAACGGCGAAGGCAGCCCCCUGGGCUGAGAUUGACGCUCAGGCACGAAAGCUGGGGAGCAAACAGG